rnacentral:lncRNA from 1 species
UAAACUUAAAUUUAAUAAAAAGAAUUUAUUAUAAUAUUUAAAUAUAAUUUAUUAUAAAUUUUAGGCAAAUUUUAUUAUAAUAUUUAAAUAUAAAUAAUAUGUAUUAAUAUAGUACAAUUAAUAAUUUUAUAAUAAAAAUAAUGUAUUAUAAUAUAUAAUAUAUUAUAUUUAUAUAAUUUAGUUUUAAUUCAAUUUAUAAUUUUAAUUAAGUUUGAAAUUAAGUAUUGGAAUAGUGCUAUUCCACUAAAAUGGUGGAAUAGCAAAUCCCUUGCUAUUCCGGAAUAAUCGGGAAUAGCAAGGUUUGACCGGGAUAAAAUAUUCCGGCCAAAUUUCACCCCGUUU